rnacentral:lncRNA from 1 species
CUUGAACCUGAGUUUCAAAGCCACAUUAAAGUCAAGGGGUGUGAACUUACUCAAAUUGAAACCAACUGACAGCUGGCUGGGAGCCCUGGGAAGGGGAGCAGUGGAGCUAUGUGUGCUUCCCUCUGAAGCUGAUGGGAAAAUGUUGAAACCUGUGUCAAGGGGAAUGCUGCCAUUGGCUGCUGGUGGCAAAAUCAGUGUAUAUAUACAUCACCUGAGCUUGUGAGCUCAUCUGCAUGUGGGCCUGAUGUGAUGGGAGCUCAUUUGAAGCCUCAGUCUGGAAGCUGGUGCAGGUUGCUUAGGUGCAGGCUGAGCUCCUGAGGAGCUGUGGGGAUGUAUGCAAAGAUGGUUUUCAGCCUAAAGAAUUAGAGCAAUUUGUGAUGUGACUACUGAGUAGCAUUCCAGGGACAACGUGUCUCCUUCAACACUAAUUAAAGGUAAUUCAAAUGUGUGGCUUCUAACUACUUGCAGAGGACAGCUUAGUAUUGCUAACACCAUGUGGUGUUCGAAGCUGAGAGGUUCCUUGAGUCCCAGGACAGCAUGAACCAGCAUCCCUUCACAGUGCCUCUGAUGAUGGUACCUGUGCUGAUGUGCUGCAUGGCCU